AGCGAACGCUGGCGGCAGGCUUAACACAUGCAAGUCGAACGGGCUUCUUCGGAAGUCAGUGGCAGACGGGUGAGUAACACGUGGGAACGUGCCCUGCGGUUCGGAAUCACUCAGGGAAACUUGAGCUAAUACCGGAUACGCCCUUUUGGGGAAAGGUUUACUGCCGAAGGAUCGGCCCGCGUCUGAUUCGCUUGUUGUUGGGGUAACGGCCUACCAAGGCGACGAUCAGUAGCUGGUCUGAGAGGAUGAUCAGCCACACUGGGACUGAGACACGGCCCAGACUCCUACGGGAGGCAGCAGUGGGGAAUAUUGCACAAUGGGCGCAAGCCUGAUCCAGCCAUGCCGCGUGAGUGAUGAAGGCCUUAGGGUUGUAAAGCUCUUUUGCCCGGGACGAUAAUGACGGUACCGGAAGAAUAAGCCCCGGCUAACUUCGUG
rnacentral:rRNA from 1 species